rnacentral:tRNA from 1 species
GGAAGGGUGGCCGAGCGGUUGAAGGCGUCUGAUUUGAAAUCAGUUGAACUAAUUACGGUUCCGUGGGUUCGAAUCCCACCCUUUCCG